GGCCUAAUGGUCUAGAAGUAUGAUUCUCGCUUUGGGAAUUUCUCACAUGCGAGAGGUCCUGGGUUCAAUUCCCAGUUAGGCCC
rnacentral:tRNA from 1 species